GUGCUUGUCUUGGCAGCAUGUAUGCUAAAGUUGGAACAAUGCAGAACAAUUAGCAUAUCCCCUGUGGAAGGAUGACAUGCAAAUCCAUGAAGCAGUCUGUGUUUUU